CAUCAGGCAUCCAGCAUGCAUGAGACAGCCAUCCUGCCCUGACGGGGAUCUGCUCUGUCCGCGGCAGCAACAUGCCGCAUCAUGCCAUUGUUGGUUUGCAACUGCUAUCUAUGUACAUAAACACCACCAAACAUUACCAAAAGAUCUGCUGUUCACAGAAAGCUGUCCUGCCUGUGUCCCAUUCAAGCCAACCCCUAUCUAGUGCACAGUUCCUUCAAUGCCGGUACAAUCUGCCGUGGGCACGCCACUAAAAGGAAAGUUUCUUCUCCUAAGAGAUUCUAACCUCCCCUUCCCCACGCGACAAAGGAGGGGGUCAUGUUCUGCAACCCCUGUGCGAAAUAACUACAUGUAGUUGAAGUCAUUCCAAGCAGAUGCAGGCUCCACAUCCUGCUCCACACUCUCUCGCCACCUGGCACAGCCCCAAUGACUCAUUUUUAAGCAUUUAUCACUCAUUCAUCUUGCUUGCUUUUCCUGCGCCUUUCUCUGCCAUCCUUGAGCAGCGUGCCUGGCCGGCAUAAGCAAUAUUCCUGCCUCCAGGAAGAUUGUUAUAUAACCCUCUACACGUUAGAUAUUCUAAAGACAGAUCCUCCUGCUGCUUCGAGACAGAAGGUUGUUGAGGCAAGCAUAACAAAGAUGAAGGCAAAACGGAUUUCGGAGUGAGAACUGUGAUUUGUUUGGUGGGCUGACCUGGCAAGAAGAAAGUUGCCCAAAGGCCCCAGGUCAAGA
rnacentral:lncRNA from 1 species